UCUAUAUGUAAUAUCCCCUCCUUUUCGACAAGAUUCAUAUGACUCAAUGAAUAUUCCAGUAACGACCAGCUGUUUUUCAUAAAAGGCAAACCAAUUUGAUUCUCGGUGAAUGGCAGGAAAUGGCUGCAAUGUAUUUAUGCCUAUUCUAUCUCUGUUCGCGCAGGUAGCAUGGCCGCCCGCAGACUUCAGAAGGAAUUCACUGCUGCAUAAAGGUCAACUUCUCCAUGACUCUGGCCGCAAACAGAAUUCACUGGACCCCGGUCACGGAAACGCUUGGGCGUGUGGCGAUAUCACCCAGGAAAACAAACAAAAAAGCAAGAAAGGAAAAGAAACCAAUAGAGUAAAAAGUGGCAAAGGUAACCCGAAAACACAUGAUACAAAACACACAAAUAAAACAUAAAACCCUCCAACAAAACAACACUUCUAUCACACAGUAAGAAUACGCAAAAUAAAGGACAGCAUCAUGUAGUCAAAGAAGUCUGCCUGUCUUAAAAAGUCCAAUGUACGGUGAGUUUUAUCUUCGCGUACUUUCUUUAUCAUCGAUGCGUCAGUCAUAGUCUAUAAAGUGACAUCUAAACAAACUGUAUCAGCUACAUGUCCAAACUUAUCAUUCUUCACUGUAAGAAGUUAUAAGUUACCAAAUACAUCAAGAAACAUGUGACACGUUUUUCUUUAGUCUCCAGAAAGCUCAUUUGAAAUAUCUUUUAAAAGCUGCAAUGGUGUAUAAAAACUGCCCAAAGAAGCAACUUACAGUUCCUCAAUGUUACAUGCAAACGCCCGUCCCGCAAGUUCUUGUCAAAAACGAAUUCCCCUGGGAAUGCGUGCGUGGAAUAUUUAGAAUUCCUGGCAACUUAAUCGCAGUACUAUAAGAACGGCUCCGCCCCUGAGGCGUCGCCA